CAUGGGCGUGGGACGGGAGCGGAGCCUGGCCGGGCCGCUCCGGGCUCGCUCGGUACUCCCGGGUCACGGCCGGCUUCGGGCCGGCUGGGGCUGCAGGGAGUGGAUCAGGAGGGUGGUUACAAAAAGCUGGGAGGUGGAUCCUGGGAUGUGGCAGGUCUUCCUAGAAAGCUCUCUGUGCAUGAGACAAAACAGGGAGUCAUUCACAUCGGUUCUGCUUCUGUUUUACCACUAUUGCAGCCGGGUCUCCUACACCUGUCCCGUGCUUCUGGGAGUGGAUCAGCGCUGCAAUACCCGCUCAUCCUGAGAAUCCACUACAUAAAUCACGACAAGGACGUCACUAAGCAAGUUCUGUACAGUUCAGCUUAAGCUUGCCCUCCAGUCCCGUCUCUACCCUCGUGGCCUCCUUUGGAUGGUCUCUAGUAGCUUAAUGUCUUCUUAAUAUUGUGGUGCCCUAAACUGCACGCAAUACUCAAGGUGGGGUUGCACCAGUGCAGAGUAAAGCAGGACAAUCACCUCCCUUGACUGGCUGGCAAUGUUUUGCUUGAUGCACCCCAAGACAUGGUUGGCCCUCCUCGCUGCCUGGGCAUACUGUUGACUCAGUAGGAGCAGCUUGUACCUCAGUCUUUCCUGUUAGUCUCUAAAGCACAUAAUGCUGCUGAUAAGAUGUAAAGUAAACAGCCCUUGUGCUGCUGCCCUGCCAUGUGUCCAUCUAUCUCACAAGCAAAGAGGACAAAAUUUACAGGAGUGAUUAAAAUAAGAGCCUACUGGUUCGUGUUCUGUGUUCCACAGCACUGAAAGCCAGUGAAGGUGUCAGCAGAGUGAGAUCACUGAUCUUUGUGGCCUAAUGAGGCUUUGAGUCCCCUAUCUUGUGGCUUGAAUGAAUAGAAGUCCAGUCCAUUUCACUGUGGAAAGCAGCUGCAGGACUGCUGCUGAAACAAGGGGAAAUAAUCUAAUCCAUGUUCUUUAACUUAAUUGCUUUAAUACCUGUUUAAGUACCUUCCCAGCCUACAGGAAAGUAAAAUUUUUGAUUUGGUUCCUGUUCUGGUUUUGGCACAGAUCAGUGAGAGUGGGCAUGGCCAAUACCCUAAUAUUAUUUGAUACCACCUCAAAUCAUUGCUGAGGGCAGAGAAAAGAAAACUCACUUCUGAGGAGAAGAGGUUCCUUCUGGUGGGGGAAAGCAUGGUUGGGAAGAGCCAGAUGCAAAUUAAAAUGAAGUAUCUGUUCAAAAGAAGCACAGCUGCCUAAAUGCCAUAUGGGCUCUCAGAAAUGUAAUCUUUUGUGUGGCUGCAGACAAGCAGCUCAAUCGAGACAGAGCCAGCACCAGAUGAGGAACUGAAAUAACAGCCUUCACAACAAAGCCAAAAGGAAGAAGCCACAAGCUCAGUCAUCCCAUCCCAAGAAUUACUUGGGGAAUCUACCCAAAAGCCAGUCUGCCUCUGUAUCCUCCAAGAGCAAUCCCUCCAGAGUGAAGGAGACUCUUCUAAGUUGGAGACUGUCCUUUACCCAAAUAUGCCCCCGAGGGUGCGCAGUCACAGCUCUGCUCUAGGUACUGAAGCGUGCUAUCAAUCAAUAAACAAACGUCUUGCGCA